UACGUAGGGUGCGAGCGUUGUCCGGAUUUAUUGGGCGUAAAGGGCGCGUAGGCGGCCACGCACGUCCGUUGUGAAAUCGCCCGGCUCAACUGGGCGGGGUCAGCGGAUACGGUGUGGCUCGAGCAAGCUAGGGGGCAAUGGAAUUCCCGGUGUAGUGGUGGAAUGCGUAGAUAUCGGGAGGAACACCAGUGGCGAAGGCGGUUGCCUGGAGCUUUGCUGACGCUGAUGCGCGAAAGCGUGGGGAGCGAUCCGG
rnacentral:rRNA from 1 species